AGCCCCGUCGUCUAGCGGCCAAGGAUACGAAAGAGUGUAUACGCCUCUGGUCGUAUGAGAGAUAGCUCGGGACGGCAGUUCGAAUCUGCCCGGGGCUA
rnacentral:tRNA from 1 species